rnacentral:rRNA from 1 species
GACGAACGCUGGCGGCGCGCUUAACACAUGCGAGUCGAACGGAAAGGCCUGCUUUCCCUUGUGGAUUGCGGGUACUCGAGUGGCGAACGGGUGAGUAACACGUGAGUGAUCUGCCCCCAACUUGGGUAUAAGCCUGGGAAACUGGGUCUAAUUCCCGAUAGGACUGCAGGGUGGUGCCUGUGGUGGAAAACGAUUUUCUAGUGGUUGGGGAUGAGCUCGCGGCCUAUCAGCUUGUUGGUGGGGUAAUGGCCUACCAAGGCGGCGACGGGUAGCCGGCCUGGGAGGGUGGACGGCAGCAUUGGGACUGAGAUACGGCCCAGACUCCUACGGGAGGCAGCAGUGGGGAAUAUUGCACAAUGGGCGGAAGCCUGAUGCAGCGACGCCGCGUGGGGGAUGACGGCCUUCGGGUUGUAAACUCCUUUCGACCGCGAGGAAGCCACCUGGUUGGAAGGGUGGUGACGGUAGUGGUAGAAGAAGCACCGGCUAACUACGUG